UGCAUUGAUAACCUACCUUUAAGAUGAGGAUAACGACGUUUCGAGCAAUCGGAACUACCGAAAGGGUUGCUAAUACUCAAUAAUACUAUUGAUACUUCGGUAUUGAUAGUUAAAUGUUUGGAGCCGCAAGGUUCCAUUUGCUUAGAGAGGGGUCAAUGUCCUAUCAGUUAGUUGGUAGGGUAAUGGCCUACCAAGGCUAAGACGGGUAGCCGGCCUGAGAGGGUGGUCGGCCACACUGGGACUGAGACACUGCCCAGACUCCUACGGGAGGCUGCAGUCGAGAAUCUUUCGCAAUGCCCGAAAGGGUGACGAAGCGACGCCGCGUGUGGGAAGAAGGCCUUCGGGUUGUAAACCACUGUCGGGAGUUAAGAAAUGUAAGGGUGUUAAUAGCAUCCUUACUUGACUAAGGCUCCGGAGGAAGCCACGGCUAACUCUGUGCCAGCAGCCGCGGUAAUACAGAGGCGGCAAGCGUUGUUCGGAAUUAUUGGGCGUAAAGAGCACGUAGGCGGUUUUGUAAGUCAGUUGUGAAAGCCUUCUGCUCAACGGAAGAACAGCAUCUGAUACUGCAAGGCUAGAGUACGGAAGGGGAGAGUGGAACUUCUGGUGGAGCGGUGAAAUGCGUAGAUAUCAGAAGGAACACCGGCGGCGAAGGCGACUCUCUGGUCCGUAACUGACGCUGAGUGUGCGAAAGCUAGGGGAGCAAACGGGAUUAGAUACCCCGGUAGUCCUAGCCGUAAACGAUGGGCACU
rnacentral:rRNA from 1 species